UCAGGUUAGAUGAAUUCAUGGCAGGUUUCAAUAUAAUAUCCCUAAAGCUGAAGGAAAUGUAUCAGUUGUGCGGAGGGCCUGUUUGUAAUGCUGGAUUUUAGAGAGACGAUGUUAAGAUGCAUAUCCAUUUCCAUCUUCUCAUAAUCUAGCUUGAACUUGUUGAUUCCUUGGAUCCAUUCUCAGAAGGGUGGUUUUCAGUUUUAGGCCCCCCAAGAAGAGCUGGAAGAAUAUUGCUAAUUUAUCUCGUGGUGAGAUGUUUGAGAAAUAACAUGUUUGAACUAACUGACCGACUCGUUGGCACUUACAAGACUGACAACUGCACUAAGAGUAUAACCAUCAACCCUGGGAGUUUCGUGGAUUGUGGAAGGGCUGCUUAAAGUCCACCUCAGACAGGAUACAGGGCAUGCAUUGCAAUUUGUACAGUGAUCUUUUGAAUCUCUUGUGAAAUCAAGUUCUUUACAAAUAUGGGGCUUCAUGAUGCAGGCCAUAUAUUCAUUAAGCGUAUUCCAUUGUGGGCACAAAAACGUAUCCUCCCGAAAUACUUAAAUCACAAGAUCGAUAUGGAUACCAGUAAUGGGUGGACGAGUAAAACAAUGUGCACGUAAAGGAGAAUUUUCUACUAAUCUUUUCUCUAGAUUUCUGUAAUGGUGGUUGAGAGAAUAAGGACCUUUGCCCAAAAA